AGUCCGUGUGAGGGCAGCCUUGGCCUACGGGGUGCGUCGGCUGGACCCAGGCGGACAGGACCUUGGGAGGGAGGGGAGGAGCCCUGUAGGUUCCGCGGAGAGCUACGAGUUUGCUUAGCUCGCAGGACGUCAGAGCUGGUGACGUCCGAUGCAAGGGCCUACGCCACAGCCACAGCAAUGCGGGAUCCGAGUCAUGUCUGCGACCUACACCACAGCUCACAGCAAGGCCAGAUCCUUAACCCACUGAGCGAGGACAGGGAUCAAACCCUCAACCUCAUGGUUCCUAGUCGGAUUCGUUAACCACUGAACCACGACGGGAACUCCGGGCCUACACCACAGCAACACCAGAUCAGAGCCACGUCUGUGACCAGCACCACAGUUCAGGGCAACACCAGAUCCUUAACCCACUGAACAAAGGCCAGGGAUUGAACCCGCAACCUCAUGGUUCCUAGUUGGAUUCGUUAACCACUGAGCCACGACGGGAACGCCUCUUUUUAAAUUAUAGUUUUGUCCAGAUAUAUGGAUUGCUGUAUCAUAUGGUAGUUUUAUAUUGCCUUUUCUGAGGAACCCGCAUACUGUUUUCCAUAGUGGUUGUAUCAGUUUACAUUCCUCCAGCCAUGCAGGAGGGUUCCACACCCUCUGCAGCAUUUGUUAUUUGUAGCUUAUGAAUGAUGGCCACUCUGACCAGUAAGAGGUGGUAUCUCACUGUAGUUUUGAUUUGCAUUUCUCUAAUAAUUAGUGAUGUUGAACAUCUUUUAUGUGCCUACUGGCCAGCUGUAUGUCUUCCUUGGAGAAAUGACUAUUUAGGUCUUCUGCACAUUUUUCGAUUAGGUUGUUCGUUCUUUUGUCGUUGAGUUGUAUGAGUUUUGUUUUUUUUUUUUGUAUUUUGGAGGUGAAGCCCUUAUUGGUUGCAUCAUUUGCAACUAUUUUCUUCCAUUCCGUAGGUUGUCUUUUCAUUUUGUUUAUGGUUUCCUUUGAUGUGCAAAAGCUUGUAAGUUUGAUUAGUUUCCAUUUGUUUAUUUUUUUCUAUUGCCUUGGGAGACUGACCUAAUAAGACAUUUGUAUGGUUUGUCUUCUCUGCCCCGUUUUUACAUGAGUGAUAGCAUAUCCCAUACAUUCUUCUGCUCCUCACUUUUUUUCAUUUAAUGUACAUCUUGGAAAUAACAACAGUAAUGUAAUAACAGUAAUAUAACAUGAGGGAAACCCACAUGUCUCAUAAUGAGCCUCCACUACGUGUCAGGUGCUGUUCUAAGCACUUCAGAUGUUAUAAUUCACACCGUGCUUGUCAGAAUCCUGUGUGGUAGGUACUUGGUAUGAAUCCCCAUUGUUAAGAGGUUAAGUAAUUUUCCGAGAUUUCACAGCUGAUACUUGGCAGAGGCAAGAUUCAAUCCCGGGCCAUCUGACUUUAGAUUAGUUGUCCUUUGUCCCUGCCCCAUUGCUGCUCACGCUUGUGUCAUGUCACUGUGGACGCUUGCUCUUCCCGAGGGCCAAGGUGGGAGAGAUGCUGGUUAUUGAACUCUUGCCAUGGCCAGGCUCAGGCUGGGAUGCAGCAAAGAAUAAGAAAGACUAGGUCUCUGCUCUCUUAGAACUGGCAUCCCAGGGCCUACAAGUGUCUGUCAGCCAAAGCAGGAGGAGGGAAACCCACGUGUCGCCUACACUCACACGCCCGUGUCCAGUGUGCUGCUCACACGCACCCUGUUCCUUUUAUCCACUGGUCCUUUACUCACUCAGCCUCUGAGCUGGAAGGCCUUGGGGCCCAGUGCUCAAGGUAGGAACGUGGAGGUCUAGACGGAGGAGACACUUGUGAGGGAUCACAGCGUGGCCCUCGUGAACCUCAUCCCCUGCCCCCCCGGGAUCCAUUUCAGCAGGGCUGGUGGAGGCGUCUCUAAUCCAGGGCCCAACCAUUGUUUGAAGUUGGGAACAAUUGAAGGGCAAGGGAGCUAUAGAUAGAUCCACAGCUGCUAUCACCUGUUCCAGCCUGGGCACUGGCCCAAGCAUUGUCUGCAUGGGGGUACUCUACCAAGGCCCACUGCGGGUGGGAGGCUGGUUCAGCCUCGCCCAGCUCUAGAGAGACUGAAUCAGAGGCCCAGACAGAGAAAUACAGAAUCUCAGAGGGUGGAAACCGACAGGGUAACUCAGAAAGACCCAGACCCUUGAGAGAUACUAGAGGCUCCCACCAAAUGCCAGGAACACUGAGGCUGGGUGGGGCUGGGAGAGCUGCACUUGUAUAUUUCUCUCUGGGGCAACCACUUCCCGGACUCUUCCUGAGGCAGUCAGAGGUACUUUGGGGAGUGCUCUUGGAGACCCCUGGGGGCUUUGAAAUGGAGAGGUUGUGGAGUUCCUGUUGUGGCUCAGUGAUAAUGAACCCAACUAGUAUCCAUGAGGACACAGGUUUGAUCCCUUGCCCGGGUCAGUGGGUUGAGGAUCCAGCAUUGCCAUGAGCUGUGGUGUAGGUUGCAGAUGCGGCUUAGAUCCCACAUUGCUGUGAUAUAGGCUGGCAGCUGCAGCUCCGAUUAGACCCCUAGCCCGGGAACUUCCAUAUGCUGCAAGUGGGCCCUAAAAAGACCAAAAAAAAAAAAAAAAAAAAAAAAAAAGAAAGAAAGAGAGAGAGAGGUCAUGCUGCUGGAUCUAGUCAUUGCUUUAAUUAUUGUGUGACCUUGGGCAGGGACCUGCUUCUUCCUCUGUGCCUCGGUUUCCCCAGCUGCUCAAUGAGAGAUGGUUUGCAUGACCACUAAAAGGCCUUUUCGUCCUCUGAUGCCUGUCAGGACAUUUUCCUCGUGUUUCUAACCUCUCUCCCUCUUGCUGCCGGCCAAGGCCACAGUCCCCUCCUCUGUUUGUCCUUUGUGAGGAUGGGGGACAGCUGGUCCCCCGUCCCCUCCCCCCCCAGUAACCUUUUAGCCAUAAAUCCAUGCUGAGGCGUCUCUCCACCGGAUAAACAGCCCUGAUACCUUUUGGCUGCCCUCGUCCUAUUUUCUGCUUGAAGUAUCAGAGCCGGGGCCCACUCGGGCCCUCUGCAGCUGCCCAGGGCCCCAGGAGGGGAACAAGCCUUGGACCAGCAGGGCCCCCACCACCCCCAGGGUGCCAGGGUGGAGGGCCCCUCCUUGGGCCUCACCACCUCACAUUUGGACCCUUAUGGCAGCCGCCUCCCAAGUAAGUCUUCCUGCCACCGGUCUCGCCCCUGCAGUCCAUCCUCCACACCAGCUGCCACGGGGAUCUGGUGAACACAUAAAUCUGACCACACUGUCAAAUGCCCUUGCUCAGAGCUCUUUGAUGAAAACAAUAAAAUAAAAAAUGCCUUUGAUGGCUCCCCAACUCCUGCAGGCUAAAGCCCCGAACCCUAAUCUGGCCUUUGAAGCCCUUCGCAGUCCAGUCCGCACUGCUCCGUCCAGCCUUACCUCAGCCUGUGUGGCUGCUCUGGACCGGGAGUUUGGGUUCUUGCUCUCGUCACCUCUUCUCUCUCUUUGGUGCCUCUCCUCACCCAGGCCCCUCCUCUCUCCCUGGCUGGCCACAGCCUCUUCACUGGUCUCCCUGUGGCAUCUCUUGCCCCUUCUAGUCCAUUCUCAAUAUGGCAGCCAAAGUGAUCUUUUUUCUUUUUUGUUUUUAGGGCCUGUGGCAUAUGGGGGUUCCCAGGCUAGGGGUCAGCUCAGAGCUACAGCUGCAGGCCUACACUACAGCCAUGCAGGAUCCAAGCUUUGUCUGCAACCUACACCACAGCUCAUGGUAACACUGGAUCUUUAACCCACUGAGCGAGGCCAAGGAUCGAACCCACAUCCUCAUGGAUACCAGUUGGAUUUGUUACCGCUGAGCCACAAUGGGAACUCCCAGAGUGAUCAUUAUAAACUCCAGACCA
rnacentral:lncRNA from 1 species